GAUGAACGCUGGCGGCGUGCCUAAUACAUGCAAGUCGAGCGAACAGACGAGGAGCUUGCUCCUCUGACGUUAGCGGCGGACGGGUGAGUAACACGUGGAUAACCUACCUAUAAGACUGGGAUAACUUCGGGAAACCGGAGCUAAUACCGGAUAAGAUAUUGAACCGCAUGGUUCAAUAGUGAAAGACGGUUUUGCUGUCACGUAUAGAUGGAUCCGCGCCGCAUUAGCUAGUUGGUAAGGUAACGGCUUACCAAGGCGACGAUGCGUAGCCGACCUGAGAGGGUGAUCGGCCACACUGGAACUGAGACACGGUCCAGACUCCUACGAGAGGCACCAGUAGGGAAUCUUCCGCAAUGGGCGAAAGCCUGACGGAGCAACGCCGAGUGAGUGAUGAAGGUCUUCGGAUCGUAAAACUCUGUUAUUAGGGAAGAACAAAUGUGUAAGUAACUAUGCACGUCUUGACGGUACCUAAUCAGAAAGCCACGGCUAACUACGUG
rnacentral:rRNA from 1 species